rnacentral:rRNA from 1 species
CCUACGGGAGGCAGCAGUGGGGAAUUUUGGACAAUGGGGGCAACCCUGAUCCAGCAAUGCCGCGUGAGUGAAGAAGGCCUUCGGGUUGUAAAGCUCUUUUGUCAGGGAAGAAACAGCAGCUCUAACACAGCUGUGAAUGACGGUACCUGAAGAAUAAGCACCGGCUAACUACGUGCCAGCAGCCGCGGUAAUACGUAGGGUGCAAGCGUUAAUCGGAAUUACUGGGCGUAAAGCGUGCGCAGGCGGUUAUAUAAGACAGGUGUGAAAUCCCCGGGCUUAACCUGGGAAUUGCAUCUGUGACUGUAUAGCUAGAGUGUGUCAGAGGGGGGUAGAAUUCCACGUGUAGCAGUGAAAUGCGUAGAUAUGUGGAGGAAUACCAAUGGCGAAGGCAGCCCCCUGGGAUAACACUGACGCUCAUGCACGAAAGCGUGGGGAGCAAACAGGAUUAGAUACCCUGGUAGUCCACGCCCUAAACGAUGCUGACUAGUUGUUCGGGAUUUUAUCCUGAGUAACGUAGCUAACGCGUGAAGUCAGCCGCCUGGGGAGUACGGUCGCAAGNUUAAAACCGUCGAAAGGAUUGACGGCGNGAGAGNGCGACGGACGACGACGAGGGAGGAGG